AAAUUGUACAUAUUAAGAAAUAUAAAGCACACAACAACAAAUUACUUCAGAACAUAACAGAUUGUACACCAGCAGUAUAAAACACACAACUACAAGUUACUUCAGAACAGAACACAUUGAACAUAAGAAAUAUAAAACACACAACAACAAAUUACUUAAGAACAUAACAGAUUGUACACCAGCAGUAAAAAAACACACAACAACAAGUUACUUCAGAACAGAACACAUUGAACAUAAGAAAUAUAAAACACACAACAACAAAUUACUUCAGAACAUAACAAAUUGUACACCAGCAGUAAAAACAUACAACUGCAAGUUACUUCAGAACAUAACAAAUUGUACAUAAGAAAUAUAAAACACACAACUACAAGUUACUUCAGAACAGAACAAAUUGUACAUAAGAAAUAUAAAACACACAACAACAAAUUACUUCAGAACAUAACAGGUUGCACACCUGCAGUAUAAAACACAACUACAAGUUACUUCAGAACAUAACAGAUUGUACACCAGCAGUAUAAAACACACAACUUCAAGUUACUUCAGAACAGAACAAAUUGUACAUAUUAAGAAAUAUAAAGCACACAACAACUAAUUACUUCAGAACAUAACAGAUUGUACACCUGCAGUAUAAAGCACAAAACUACAAGUUACUUCAGAACAUAACAGAUUGUACACCAGCAGUAUAAAACACAUAACUAUAAGUUACAUCAGAACAUAACAGAUUGUACACCAGCAGUAUAAAACACAUAACUA
rnacentral:lncRNA from 1 species